rnacentral:rRNA from 1 species
AUUGAACGCUGGCGGCAGGCCUAACACAUGCAAGUAGAGCGGAGCGGCGGACGGGUGAGUAAUGCCUAGGAAUCUGCCUGGUAGUGGGGGAUAACGUACGGAAACGGGCGGUAAUACCGCAUACUAGCAAAUGAGCCUAGGUCGGAUUAUCUAGUUGGUAGGGUAAAGGCCUACCAAGGCGACGAGCCGUAACUGGGCUGGGAGGAUGUUCAGUCCCACUGGAACUGCGACACGGUCCAGACUCCUACGGGAGGCAGCAGUGGGGAAUAUUGGACAAUGGGCGAAAGCCUGAUUCAGCCAUGCCGCGUGUGUGAAGAAGGUCUUCGGAUUGUAAAGCACUUUAAGUUGGGAGGCGUUACCAACAGAAUAAGCACCGGCUAACUUCGUGCCAGCCGCCGCGGUAAUUC